AUUGAACGCUGGCGGCAGGCCUAACACCUGCAAGUCGAGCGGAGCGGCGGACGGGAGAGUAAUGCCUAGGAAUCUGCCGGGUUGUGGAGGAUAACGUCCGGAAACGUGCGCUAAUACCGCAUACUAUCAGAUGAGCCUAGGCCGGAUUAGCUAGUUGGUGGGGUAAAGGCCUACCAAGGCGACGAUCCGUAACUGGUCUGAGAGGAUGAUCAGGCACACUGGAACGGAGACACGGUCCAGACUCCUACGGGAGGCAGCAGGGGGGAAUAUUGGACAACGGGCGAAAGCCUGAUCCAGCCAUGCCGCGUGUGUGAAGAAGGUCUUCGGAUUGUAAAGCACUGUAAGUUGGGAGGCGUUACCAACAGAAUACGCACCGGCUAACUUCGUGCCAGCAGCCGCGGUAAUUC
rnacentral:rRNA from 1 species